AGCUACAGAGAUAGAGACGAACAGAACAAACAAACAAACAAAACGCGCUCAUCCACAACAUAGAUAAGUAUAAUGCGUCUUACUUAUACUACAAAUGAACACUGACAAGUGUGAAAUGUAUGUACUAGACAGAAGUUAAUUUGUGUGUCGACCCACAUUGUUAACUUAUAACGGAGCAUGGAGGAGUGAUGAAUGUGUGCGUGCGUUAAAGAACCAAAUGCUGCCCGCGGCCAGUGACGGACUUCUACGUCACACAGUUCAAAGAAUGACAGCACUAUCUAAAAAUGAAGAAUGCAAAAUGCAAUUUCAAAAGGAGUACCCCCCCCGAGAUCAUGGUGUUUGACAAGGAUUGAUACCUAUAACCUCUAUUAUUUCUAGUUUAUAUUAAUGAUCUGCAUCAAAACUACCUUUUCAAAAAAAAUGUGUUGAUGAUACAAGUGUGUUCUUCCCCACAGCAAUGUCAACUAUCUCACUGAAUAAACUGCUGAACACAACCAAGCACUGUUAAAACUGAGUACAAGGAAAGUGGACAAAUGUGUAUAGACUUUAAACACUGAGCAAACCCUCUGUGUCUACCUCCUGCUCCAUGUGUAUAUGUCGGGAAACCUUCUAUAUCCCCUCUGCCCCUCUCCAAGCGUCUGCACAGCUCUCUCCAUGGGAAUGAUGUCAUGGUUGGGAAUUCCAACAGGGGGCCCUGUCUGUGCUCAUAAAAACCCCUCGUCUCCCCAGCUCACUGCACAUGGCCUGACUGAAUUACAGCUCCCAGUCCAUCACCCUCUCCUGGCCUUGGCAAGAAUAGCGGGUCUGGGACAUCACCACUUUAUGGCAUAUUUUGUCUGAAAGGCAACAUUAAUCAGUGUAACCAUGAAGUCAGACAACAGUGCAAAGUAGCAGAGCCGGUACACCUACGUACUGUACGAUCCAUGGAUCUGGCAGCCUCUGCUCUCACCUGUAGAGACACUCUGGAGACACGGUCUGCAUUCCUCACUGCCAAACACCGACUGAGCCAGCAUGUCAACAACUCCGCUUAAACCCCACUACUGCAGCCAAACACCGACUGAGCCAGCAUGUCAACAACACCCCUUAAACCCAACUACUGCAGCCACACACCGACUGAGACAGCAUGUCAACAACACCCCUUAAACCCCACUACUGCAGCCACACACCGACUGAGCCAGCAUGUCAACAACACCACUUAAACCCCACUACUGCAGCCACACACCGACUGAGCCAACAUAUGUCAACAACACCCCUUAAACCCCACUACAGCAGCCACACACCGACUGAGCCAGCAUAUGUCAACAACACCCCUUAAACCCAACUACUGCAGCCACACACCGACUGAGCCAGCAUGUCAAUAACACCCCUUAAACCCAACUACUGCAGCCACACACCGACUGAGCCAACAUAUGUCAACAACACCCCUUAAACCCCAUUAACGCAGCAACACACCGACUGAGCCAACAACACCCCUUAAACCCAACUACUGCAGCCAGGUAGCUACUGCUUCAACCAGACAUCAAACUCACACUGCCAGAAAAAAAAACAGAUACCUUAAAUGAGCCCACC